rnacentral:ribozyme from 16 species
AAAAAAAAGAGGGAUGAGGUUGGAUGAGAUGAAUAACAGGUAAAAUAAUGAUCUACUCUUUCUAAAAGUAGCAUUUUCACUAUUAUCAGCGCGUUCGUUUUUUCUUUUUUAUUUGUUUCCCUUUUUUGUUUGUUUUAUUUUUG